rnacentral:misc_RNA from 1 species
GAUGAAGAACGCAGCAAAAUGCGAUAAGUAAUGUGAAUUGCAGAAUUCAGUGAAUCAUCGAAUCAUUGAACGCACAUUGCGCCCGCUGGUAUUCCGGCGGGCAUGCCUGUUCGAGCGUCAUUUCAACCCUCAAGCCCCCGGGUUUGGUGUUGGGGAUCGGCUCUGCCCUUCUGGGCGGUGCCGCCCCCGAAAUACAUUGGCGGUCUCGCUGCAGCCUCCAUUGCGUAGUAGCUAACACCUCGCAACUGGAACGCGGCGCGGCCAUGCCGUAAAACCCCAACUUCUGAAUGUUGACCUCGGAUCAGGUAGGAAUACCCGCUGAACUUAAGCAUAUCAAUAAGCGGAGGA